rnacentral:tRNA from 1 species
GCAGGGAUGGCGGAGCUCGGUCAAACGCGGCGGACUCAAGAUCCGUUGACUUAGGUCUACGGGGGUUCAAAUCCUCCUCCCUGCA